CUCAGGCCUCCUGGGGGUGUCCCCAGUGCAGCCAUGAUGAUAAUCACAGCUACCAUUCACCAAGCCCUGCCCACAGUCUAACCUACUCUAUUCACAACACUCCCAGCAGCAAGGCAAGUGAGGUGCUGCCGUCAUCCAGGCUGGACAGUUCAGUGAUUUGCCUGAGGCCCCACAGCAGAGUUCAACUGGAGACAGAGAAACCAGCUAGAGGCAGAGGGAGGUAACACGGAGUCCCCCAGAAAGGUCUGGGCUGUGCGUGCUUCAGGUAACCUCACUUGACCUUCAGGAGAACGAGAAGGCUGCCUGAUCAGAGAGUCUCUGAAGAAGAUUCUGUGGCUACAGGCUUCAGCAGAGUGUGAGGGAGACCCCGGUUAUUUCCUCAGCUGUUUCCACCAAAUCCUCCUGUCUUUUGUGGCCAACACCCCAGGCAAGGCUUGGGGCCCCUGUCUGCUGCUGGACGCAGAGCCAUGAAGAAGAAGUUAGUGGUGCUGGGCCUGCUGGCCGUGGUCCUGGUGCUGGUCAUUGUCGGCCUCUGUCUCUGGCUGCCCUCAGCCUCCAAGGAACCUGACAACCAUGUGUACACCAGGGCUGCCGUGGCUGCGGAUG